AUAAUGGAGUUCAGAAACCAUACACAAAACGAGGCGGAACCGAAAAGCCAAAUGAGUAGGAC
rnacentral:ncRNA from 1 species